GACGAGGGAUCCAAGCGUUGUUCGGAAUUACUGGGCGUAAAGCGCGUGUAGGCGGCUCUUCAAGUCAGGGGUGAAAGACGGUAGCUUAACUAUCGCAGUGCCUUUGAUACUGAUAGGCUUGAAUGUACUUGAGGUAGGCGGAAUGUGACAAGUAGCGGUGAAAUGCAUAGAUAUGUCACAGAACACCAAUUGCGAAGGCAGCUUACUAAAGUAUGAUUGACGCUGAGGCACGAAAGCGUGGGGAUCAAACAGG
rnacentral:rRNA from 1 species